UUCCGGGUUGAGGAGGAGAUGGGCGUGGUUUUCCCCAGGCCACUCCCCCUCCUCCUCCGCCGCCGAGUAGCGGCGCUCACUCAGCGCUCCAGCCCGAGCAGAGCACCAGCAGCGCGGACCGCUAGCUCUGUGUCUCCGGCUGCUACAGUUCGCGAUUAUUACCGCCAGUAGGAGCGGAUUUUGGAGGCGGGCGUUUCUUUUAGAAGGUGGGGAGUAGAGUGAGUGAACUGCGGCUGGGAAGUGCUUACCUUGGAGGGAAUUUAACGGGUAGAUAGGGAGCUAGCUAACGCCGCGCCGGUGCUGCUGGGUCUGUCUUAACAACCACCACCACCGCCGUCUCUAGGCUGUAUGGGAUCCGCUCUGUCGUUGCUGGGACUCGGCUUGAGCUAGCAGGCUUCCCCCCCCCCUCCUCCUCCUUCUACUACCACCGCCUCUCUGUCUCACACGCUUAUCUAGAGAGUGAGAAAGCGUGGAUAUCUGGAUGUUUAGAGGUUUAGACAGAGCUCCAGAGUGCUAGUAGCUAAAGAGAGGGGUAGCGGAGGAGAGAGGUGACUGUUAGAGUGUGUAACGGUCAUCUGGGACGGGCAUUAUUCAGAGAGCUCCUCGGCGGCGGAGGACUGUGGGCUGCUGCUGCUUUUCCUGGCUGGACUGAAGAGACAUUUUCAGCUCGUCCGCUGUAGGUCUGCUCUCCGAGGGGGAGGAGGAGCUGGAGAAGGUCGGGGGAAAGCGGAAUGCGACUUUUUCGACGUUUCUGAGCUUUUGUGGGCUUUCUGAAAAAGGAAAAAGGACGCGUAAACUGACACGACAGCUCCAUAAAGAUAGUGUUCAGUGGAAAUGGGUCAUCCUUAGCCAAGAGGGAACAGAGCCAGGCCUGUCUAAAGGAGCUGAGCUAGGAAGCAGCCAGCCCACUAACAGCCAGUGUAACACAAUACCACAGGCUAACAGGCUAGCACCUCUACCCUCAACUCCAGCAGCAGCACGAGGAAAGAUCCAUCACCUCAACUCAACCCUCAGUAUCCCUGCGGUGACUGUGACAAGUCAGACUUUACCCACAGUGUGAUGAGGUUGACUGUGAAGGAAGAGAAUGGAUAUAUAUUUAAUAAAUCAGUGGUUGCUGUGAAGAAA
rnacentral:lncRNA from 1 species